CUAUAGCCGUGCGCGAGUCGGGGGCUCGCACGAAAGCCGCCGUGGCGCAAUGAAGGUGAAGGCCGGCGGCGGCUUCCCGCCGUCGUCGGCCGAGGUGGGAUCCCGAGGCCCUUCCAGUCCGCCGAGGGCGCACCACCGGCCCGUCCCGCCCGCCGCGCCGGGGAGGUGGAGCACGAGCGCACGUGUUAGGACCCGAAAGAUGGUGAACUAUGCCUGGGCAGGGCGAAGCCAGAGGAAACUGGUGGAGGUCCGUAGCGGUCCUGACGUGAAAAUCGGUCGUCCGACCUGGGUAUAGGGGCGAAAGACUAAUCGAACCAUCUAGUAGCUGG
rnacentral:ncRNA from 1 species